CCCUUAGAUGUUCUGGGCCGCACGCGCGCUACACUGAUGCAUUCAACGAGUCUAAAACCUGCUCUGAUAGGGGUGGGUAAUCUUUUGAAUGUGCAUCGUGAUUGGGAUAGAUGAUUGCAAUUUUUCAUCUUCAACGAGGAAUGCCUAGUAAACGCAAGUCACCAGCUUGCAUUGAUUACGUCCCUGCCCUUUGUACACACCGCCCGUCGCUCCUACCGAUUGAAUGAUCCGAUGAAUAUCAUGGAUUGAGGAUGUAAGCAGGUUCGCCUGUCUUCAUCUUCGAGAAGUGAAGUAAAUCUUAUCAUUUAGAGGAAGGAGAAGUCGUAACA
rnacentral:rRNA from 1 species